rnacentral:rRNA from 1 species
UACGAAGGGGGCUAGCGUUGCUCGGAAUCACUGGGCGUAAAGGGUGCGUAGGCGGGUCUUUAAGUCAGGGGUGAAAUCCUGGAGCUCAACUCCAGAACUGCCUUUGAUACUGAAGAUCUUGAGUUCGGGAGAGGUGAGUGGAACUGCGAGCGUAGAGGUGAAAUUCGUAGAUAUUCGCAAGAACACCAGUGGCGAAGGCGGCUCACUGGCCCGAUACUGACGCUGAUGCACGAAAGCGUGGGGAGCAAACAGG